CUAAACCAUGAUCAAAUAAUUCCCCUAAGGGGCCAGAAGUUUGUGUGCGUCUUGCCUGCUUUCCAUCUAUCCCGUCUGCAAUUAUAACAAUUAUUCUUUAAAUUCUACUUGUUAAUAUUAAAUCUACAUAUGAAGCAAAUACACAUACCAAGCGUAUAUGCCAUAAAAAUGUUAAAAGCAGCCAUGGCAAAGACCCAUCGUGCUAUCGGAGGGUAUUCCGGCUUGUCAUCACUGGAUGCGUAAAAAUAGUAGUCGUAAAUCGCAAAUAGCAUAAAGUUUAGCACAGUAAAAAGGAAUCCCGAGAAAGUUAGUACGUUUGGAGCAAUCCAUUUUGGACAAUACUAAAACAA